GCAGUAAUAGCUUAAUAAUUAGAGCAUUGGUCUUGUAAGUCAAAGGUGGAAUAAUUUCCUUACUGCU
rnacentral:tRNA from 1 species